CCAUGGCAGGGGGGUUGGAACUAGAUGAUCUUAAGGUCCUUUCCAGUCCUAACUAUUCUAUGAUUCUGUGAUAUGGUAGGAAAAGUGCAUUUUUAUCUCUUGAAGUGUGGUCAAGAGAGUAGAAAUGACUGAUUAUCAUAUCCCUGAACGAUUCCUUUCAACUUAAUGAUUAAAAUGAAGUUAGUAUCUGGAUUUGCUAAUGUCAAGGUAAGGCAAAGUUGCUCCAAGAAGAACAUAGCAGUAAAAUUGGUAUGCUAGUGCUUCUUUAGAAAAAGGCAUUGGUCUUAUCUAGUUCUGUUAAAAUUCAGAUUGCUUUUUUAAAUUUAGUACUUAUUCUUCAGCUUUAAGAGACAGGUUUUCCUGGACAAAUUCAUGAGUUCAGGAAAGUCUUUUGAGCCAUAUAAAUGUCUGAGCAGAGUCAGGGGAAUAUGAGUGACUGUAACACACAUUCAGCACUAUCUUUAUGAGAACUUUGUAUGGGUGUAGCCUGAUGGUAAAACUGCAAGAUUUACAAGUGCUGGAGACUUUUGAUGUCUGAUCUUUUCUGCCACUUGACUAGCAAAAUCCUGUCUAAGAAGCGGAGUAUUUGGGAAAGGUGGAAUUCCAUCACCAGAAGAUGCCUGCCUUUUAGGCACUUCUCCAUUCCUUUUCCUUUCCACAGCCCUUCCCUCUGUUGGUGUAGAUAAGUAUGACUAACUAAAGAAUGUAUAGAAAUUUGCACUGAUUUCAGUGCAAAAUUCACAGCAAAACAUAAUCUACACAGAAAACUCUUAUUCCACCACCUGUAUCAAUACAAUCUGUAGCAAUGAAUUAGCAGAAAUGUCUUAUGAUUGCACUUGAUUUUAAAAGGAUCAGGAGCAAAAUAUGAAGGAUUUGGCAGAGGAAUAUCCUCCUUCAUUUCAGUGUGGAAGGUGGCAUUAGGUUAAUUUAGACACUAAUGUGUUGUGGAUAUUGUGAUAAGCUCCACACAAGGUCCUACUGAUGAUCCCCCACUGGUGGCAAGAGCAGUGCUGUGGCCCCAGUCCUGCCUCUUGAACUCUAGUGCAGCUUCUUGGCAGGACAAGACCUUUGCAUGUCCGGGGAGAUCAUGGUAUAGGAAAAAUGUGGUGCUCUGCUGUAAAUGCAUGAGAGAUGGGCUUUGGUGUGUCAGAGGGGUGGCCAAGGCCUACUGGUGUAAUUGUCCCAGGUAAUGGCAUUGGAGGGAGCACAACGUUUUUGCCUAUAUCCACAGCUCAAUCAGACUCUGGAAAACUCAAUUAACCAGAAGAGCUUUUCAUCCAGUAGGGCAGGGCAAGAGUCUUCUGGGUUAUCCAGCAAAAACUUGGACAGUUUUGGCCUCAGUUGUCAUGAUUUCUGCUUCUGGCCAUUUUGUAGCUAAACAGAAGUGGAGAAUAUAGAGCUCAAGAACUAUUAAAAAAGAACAAUGCAGGCAUGAUACAGACAUGGCUACAGUGAUGGGGAGAAAUCUGAGUGAAACACAUAUUAUGUGAACAAAUUACAUCAUUUUUUACUCAAAGCAGCUGUGCAGUGCCCUGUGCUUGCUGAUGCUGAAGCAUCAGAAGGGGGGAAAAGCACUGUCAAGGCUGAAAGACUGCUGUGUGGUUUUCCAGGCAUUUCACUGCAGAUUUAUAGUCGGUAAACUUGGCUUCUGAAUUAUAGGGAUGUAUUCAAUGUUUUUUUUCUGGCUUCAGUAUGUUGCUUAUUUUCUGUGUACAAUUUUUUUUCUUCAGAAAAAAUUCCAGUUCCUAGUGAAUGGAUUGUAGAUUUAAGUCCUAUUUUUUUGCCCUGAUGAAAGCAAUAUGCUGGUCUUUGACUAGUUUGCAAGAGCAAAUCUAGCUUUCAACACAUGUGCUACUUGGUAUGUACUGAAACUAUCAAAGUGAUUAUGUAGUCACAGCCUCAUAGAGUAUAACCAAAUAUACUCAAAGCUCAAUGAGAGGCAUUUGUCAUUCUGAAUCAGGUAAGAACAGACUGUACUGGCACUGAAGAGCUAUCAGGUAUCUUGUCAAGAGACUGGCAAUUUGUACAAUGCUUGGAGAAUACUCCACACAUUCUUUGUUUAGAAUGAUGGUCUGAAUAUAUUUGAUGGAAAAUAUUAAGAAACUUAGGAGCUAUACCUUGAAACUGCAAGUAGUAUUGAAUGAAAGUAAUGCAGACAGUUAUGCAGAGGUCUCUACCAUCUAAAAUAUUUAAAUUCACUAUUAUAAGAACAGUUACAGUCAUGGCAACUUUAUUCUACUUUCAGUGUUUUUAUUUGAUUCAACGGAUAUAAAAUUAUUAAUGUUUUAGCUGAGAGGUAGUUUUCAGCACUGAAAAGUAGUAUUUGCAUUUCAAAUCUAAAAUAUUUUGGGGACAAAAAAUCUUUAAUAGAUUUUGAUCUCACUGUAAUGUGUUGGCUCUGCUAUACAGUUAGUUUUACAAAAAAGUAAAACGUUGAUGGAAUCAAAAGCCUUUCUCUUACGUGAACUUUCCUGAAUAUACUUAAUAAAAUAAACUUUUACUUAAUUACAAUAACCACUAUUCCUCAUGCCAUAAUUAAUAUUAUUUCAUAAACUGGUAUUAGGCCAACUUUUAUACAUAAACCACAGAAACUUCUUCAUAAACAGGUUAUGUAUUUAAAAUAUGAGUUUUGAGAUUGAAGUAUCUUUGUUGUUAAAAGAAGAAUUCUAUGCAAAACUAAAUUCUUACUCAGUUAUAAUAGGUGUGCAUCUUUGGAUUAGCCAUCAUAAAAUACUUACUGGAAUACUAGAGUAGAAAUAAUACUGUUAAAUAUGUAUGAUGUUACUUUCUCUUGCCAUACAUUCUGGAUAUGUAUGUAUGUGGCCUAAAAUAGUGUGUGACGGAUCAUACCUUCCCAAGAAAAUUCAUAGAUUCUGAUUUUGAUGACACUGUGGAAGACCGUAAGAUAUACGAUGUAUGGUUACGUCAUGUUUUUGGUAGAGCUUUGCUAGUCCUGUUUCUCUCAUCUUCUGUUAACUUAAUUUCCAAAUUUAUUUGUGGGCAUUUGUGUGCUGUUUAGUUUCUGUUUAUAAGCCUAUAUGGGAUGGGCAAAGAAGGAGGGGUGCUGGAGUGGGUCCAGAGAAGCUUCUGAAAGGUCCAGAGAAAAAGUCUCAUGGGGAGUGGCUGAGGGAAUGGGGGUGAUUUAGCCUUGAGAAAAGGAGGCUUGGGGGAGCCCUAUCACUCUCUACAACUAUCUUAAAGGAGGAUGGAGCAAGAAGGUUGCAGAUGAAGAAGAAUCCUCACUUCAGUUGAACCCUGUAGUUGAGAGAACAGUCAGUAACAGAGGCUUUGGAAACCAGGAAUUGUUGAUUCCUCCCUCGGAGGGCAUUUUGCCAGAGAAUUCUGCUUGAGACGCAUGGAAAUUCUUGAACUAAAUAUAUGUGUGCAUGGGACUGGAAAAAUAUAUACGAAGCAUGUGUUUCUAUAGGAAUCCUAUUCAGCUAAAGCAUAACAAGAUUUGAAAACACUUUUUCUUGGUAACUCAGAUUGGAAAUGACCAUAAGCUUGAUAGUCUAUCAGGCUGUACAUUUUUACCAGGUUUUUAGCAAUCGAUAUUUGCUAAUCGAUAUUUGGCAGAGAAAGGAAAGAGACCAUGAAGAGGAAAGACACAUUCUUAAGUGCUUAAGUAAGAGCGUGCUUGUGUUUUUCCACUUGAACUUCAAGCGUGAUCUUUCUGACGGCAUACUGUACGUCUGAAGUAGAAAAUGAAAAAGUGCACCUGAUAAAAUAAGGAACGGGCAUUAAAAAAGUGUGAACUUUCACAUUCAAGUUUCCUUAUUUUAGAGCAAAUGAUUUCGGUAUCGAUUCUCCAGUCUCACAGAGCUGUCCCCUAAUAAAAUCUGUCAGAACAGCUGCAGACAGUGUGAGCUUUUAACAAUGAAUAAAUAGCACUUAUUCCAGA